AGAGUUUGAUCAUGGCUCAGAACGAACGCUGGCGGCAGGCUUAAUACAUGCAAGUCGAGGGGCUCGUAAGAGCACCGGCGCACGGGUGAGUAACACGUGGGAACAUGCCCUUGGGUGCGGAACAACGUUUGGAAACGAACGCUAAUACCGCAUAAUAUCUUCGGAUCAAAGAUUUAUCGCCCAAGGAUUGGCCCGCGUUAGAUUAGGUAGUUGGUAGGGUAAUGGCCUACCAAGCCGACGAUCUAUAGCUGGUCUGAGAGGAUGAUCAGCCACACUGGGACUGAGACACGGCCCAGACUCCUACGGGAGGCAGCAGUAAGGAAUAUUGGACAAUGGGCGAAAGCCUGAUCCAGCCAUGCCGCGUGAGUGACGAAGGCCUUAGGGUUGUAAAGCUCUUUCAGGUGCGAAGAUAAUGACAGUAACACCAGAAGAAGCCCCGGCUAAAUUCGUGCCAGCAGCCGCGGUAAUAC
rnacentral:rRNA from 1 species